GGACGCAUGCAGCACGAAUCGAAACAGGAGCGAGCGGAGCGGCGUCGCUACUCGUUUAACAGAACGAGGCAUACGCAAAAAGGAUCAACUCCGGAACAAAUGGCGUCACGAUUUAUCUAAUUAAGCAAACGAUUCAUUUAACAAUAAAUCGUAUGUAUUACAAUUCCAUUAUUGGACAUUGUGAGACCAUAAUCUGAAGAGAAGAUUUGACAACUUAGAAAUAAAUCAGAUUGAGGGAGAUAUCGGGAAUCUGUGGAGCAACCUUUUGCGAUUUAUCGUAGUGACGUAUGUGUGAUAAUUCCACUGUUGCGCAU
rnacentral:lncRNA from 13 species